CUGAAUUUCUCCAAAUCUGUUCAGAUGAACAAACUCAUCUACAUCUUGGAGGACCCGAGGUGUCUGCAACGUCAUCUCUUCGUCUUUACUGGGAAAUGUGCAAUCAUGUCUUUGCAUACAUCCAGUGGGGGGUGGUCCGAUGACCUCUUGGCUGGGGGACUCACAUCUGUUGAGGAUGGUCUCUUCUGAGGAUCCAAGAAUGUUUGUAUGUGUUCGUCUUCCCUGAAGAUGGUCGCCCUCUCUUGGGUGCUGUGUUGUGUAUGUUCACCAGGAUGAGAGAGGUUGCAAGUUGUGCCUGAAACUGUCUCCUGUUCAAUAUCGCUUUCUUUGUCAUCUUCAGAGCUUUACAGUCCCGCUUGUAGAGGAGCCAGGCGUUAAUCACAGCAAGAAUGAUGGUGUGCCAGAAGAUGUAAAUGUACCAGCGGUGGGAUUUCAUGGGGAACUUGUACUUGGCAGCAAAUGAGUCCAACAAAUCCACACCUCCCAUGUGUUUGUUGUAGUUUUGACCCUCUGGAAGUGUGGAGGCGAGCUUCAUCACAACAUCACCUGACAGUCCAAGUUCAGAUUUGGCUUGUCGUAUUCCAUCUACACUCCCUUGGUACACAUCAAAGUCACACAGCAUGCCAGAGAUUCCAGUUCUCACCCACAGUUUGAACCCCCAUGGGUGUGGCUUGUCACGCAUAUACUGCUUGAUGUUACUGAAUCCCCCCUUGAAAGAAAUCAUCAUUUCAUCCACAGAGUUGUGUUCUUCAGCUCCACCUGCAGGCAUCUCUCCCUGAAUGAAUUCAGCCAUGGUCUGAGUUUACAGAGUUUGUCCUUCUUUUCCAUCUCUGACACAGUUAAGUUGUUUGUAAAGUGUAAUGAAGUCAACAGAGAUUGGAAUCUGUUGCAGGACAUCACAAAAGAAACGGGUGUACCGUGUGUCAGUCUCCCAAUACAUACGGACUCCAGACAUUUGCAUUAGGCCCAUCUUCAGUUACAUGCCUAGCAUCUUCUCAAUUUCCUUAUUAUUGGUGCAGG
ensembl:lncRNA